UACGUAGGGUGCAAGCGUUGUCCGGAAUUAUUGGGCGUAAAGAGCUCGUAGGCGGCUAGUCGCGUCGGCUGUGAAAACCUGGGGCUCAACCCCGGGCCUGCAGACGAUACGGGCUAGCUAGAAUUCGGUAGGGGAGACUGGAAUUCCUGGUGUAGCGGUGAAAUGCGCAGAUAUCAGGAGGAACACCGGUGGCGAAGGCGGGUCUCUGGGCCGAUAUUGACGCUGAGGAGCGAAAGCGGGGGGAGCGAACAGG
rnacentral:rRNA from 1 species